rnacentral:rRNA from 1 species
ACGAACGCUGGCGGCGCGUCUUAAACAUGCAAGUCGCACGGCAGGAAGGGGCUUGCCCCUUCUGAGAGUGGCGGACUGGUGAGUAACACGUGGGUGACAUACCUUUUAGUUGGGGAUAGCUAUUAGAAAUAGUAGGUAAUACCGAAUGUGACCGUACCUGUUAGAGGGGUACGAGGAAAGGAGCUAAGGCUUCGCUAAAAGAAUGGCUCGCGGCCCAUUAUGCUCGUUGGUGAGGUAACGGCCCACCAAGGCGAUGAUGGGUAUCCGGCCUGAGAGGGUGAACGGACACAUUGGGACUGAGAUACGGCCCAGACUUCUACGGGAGGCAGCAGUUAAGAAUAUUCCGCAAUGGACGAAAGUCUGACGGAGCGACGCCGCGUGGAUGAAGAAUGCCGAAAGGUUGUAAAAUCCUUUUAAGCCUGAUGAAUAAGCACAGUAGGGAAUGAUGGUGCGGUGACCGUAGGGCUUGAAUAAGCACCGGCUAAUUACGUG